rnacentral:lncRNA from 1 species
GAAUUCUUUCCCUUCAUUGUCAGAGAGAACCGCCCCCGCACGGCGAGCGCGCGCGCGCUCACGCACCACUCUCACACUCCGGCGCGCCAAAGGCUUUCCGCUUGGCGUCUCGCGCAUGCGCGGAGGGGGAAGCAGUGGCGAAAUUGGAUGCUUUUUGCUGAGUUUCUCAGAGAAGUUUCUGGAAAGAUGGAGCCAAAGGGACGCUGGGGGGUGGGGAGCGCCAGGAAGCAAGCGUUUGAAAGAAAGCGAAAAAACCCAAGCGCACCGCGACACCUCCAACCUUCAAGCCACGGCCCAAGCAGAGCCCAAGGCCACUGAGACCCUCACGCCAGAGAAAAAGCACAGGGACCGCGGCAGCCGCUCCUCCCUCUGCCACUGCUCAGCCCCCGAGACUCCCCAGCACGGGGAGAGGGCAGGGGGUAGCCAUGAGAAACCUAGAGCGCUCACUGGACUUUUGCGAGGUGGAAGGAAAGCCGAAACCCGCCCUUUGGAGCCGCCUGUGCGCACGGGCCCCGUCGAGUGGGCUCAGUACGUUAGGACUCAGCGUGGCCGCCAAAGCAUUGGUUGGGGGCGUCUUUCACUAAUUUUUCCUAGGUUUUCUCUUCUAUCGGGCUCUGUGGUCCUUUCACCACCCAUCUUCACUUUGGUGGCCUGACGCUAACGCUGCGAGUUGGGGAAACCGUAGUAACCCCGGGCCUGAGGGGCGUCCCGGGCGGCGGUGCUCCGUUUCUUCCAGCGGUUGCCCCUUUAAGAAAAAGCCCCCCGGAGAGGGGCCCGUGUGGCUGAGUAAAGGUGGCGUGCGCCCGCACAAAGGCGCCGCGUUGUUGGCGGGCUCCGGACCCUGUUGCCCCUGGGCGGGGCGGCGUGGGAAGACCGGGGCGCCUGGGCGGGGAGAACGACGUUGGCGCUAGCGGGGCAGGGCAGGGGGAGGGAGUCACGGGAUUUAGCAGGUGCUUCUCCGCGACCGAGCGACUGCCAUUUUGUGGUGCGGCCGCCGCCAUUUCGCGCGGCCGAGGGGCGGGGUGUGGGCGGAGCGGCGGGCGCGCCCGGGCUGUCCCUCGGGGCGGCGGGCUAACGCGGCCGCUUUGUUCUUCGCUUCUCGGCUCGAGGCCCCAGUCUCGACCGCCGACCGCCUCGGAACCGGGCUGCAUCCGAGCUGCCACGCGGCGUGUGAACCUUGAAGCGCGGCCGGGGAAUCCGCAAGGCGCCGACUCUCUUCCUCCUUGCAAGCCCUUCGAAAGUGAGAUUUCUCACCCCACCCUUGCAGGGUGGAGAGAACACGUUUCAAAAAGGGGAUGCCUAGAACUCAGCCGUGGGAAGUGCCUGUCUAAAGCCUUGUGCUGGUGCCAGUAGCAAACCCGUGCGCGUGCUCGGCUUUGAGCGAUCAUGGAGCUCUGCAAAUAGCUCAACUGCAGAGCGUGCCCCUUAGAGCUCCUGUGCUGCUGGGAGGCCUCAUAAAGGUGCCAAAACCAGGUGUCCCCAGCGGUUGGCCUCUUUAAAAAGAAAAAAAAAAAAAGGCGGAGUGGGAUGUCCUUGACGUGCUGAAAGACGGAGUAGAAUGAGACGUUGGUUUUCAUUGGCUGGCCAUUAAGCACGCACUGCGCAACUGUUUUCCAGAUACGGGUUUAUAGCCCAUUAUUUAUAUCGGAGCCAUAAACUUGAACAAUAGAUUGGAAUAUCUUAUUUUUGCCUGUUGAGAAUAUCUCCCAUUUAACUUCUUUUGAAAGUUCAGAUGAGUAUAUAAAUAAUACAUUGACCCAGUAGAAUCUAUUGUGUGCGUUCCAGCGUCAUUUCAAAGAGCUAUUGUUUUUCUGAUUUCAAAAGAAAUAUUUAAAUGUGAGUCUUUGUGUUUUAAUGUUAACCUUGUGGUUCGAAAUCAACAAAGCCAGGAAAUUCAAGAGAACUGCUGCUAAAUUUGUCUUCUUCCUUUGCUUUCGUACAAGGUUUUUUUGUUUAAUUUUUUUUAAGUUUUUCUUCACAGCGUGAGUACAUAGAAGAGCCAGCCCUUUAUAUUCUUACUAUGUAUAAUUAUAGGGAGUUAUUUCAGUAACAGGAGGUAAAGCUCAUAAUGAUAGGAUGAAAAGGUAAAAGAACAUCUGUUGAAGGAAUCGAUCAGGAUUUGAUGGCUUCCAGAUGAAAGAAAUAUCUGAGAAGAGGCUUUUGGAUUCCAAAUAAUUUAGUUUCAUUAUGACCAAAAGCACUGCAUAGAGCUUUAAAUUUUUAUACCGUAUCUUUUGACAUCAACUAUCCUUUUUUUUUUUUUUUUUUUAAGACAAGGUCUCUGUUUUUUGCAGUAACGAAAUCACAGCUCACUGCAGCCUCGACCUCCCUGGACUCAGGUUAUCCUCCCACCUCAGCCUCCUGAAUAGCUGAGAAUAGGC